ACACUUUAGUUCAACCAUUCUCCUUUUAGAGAUUUCAUAAAAUAUGUAUCACCUACAGAUGUAGUGUAGAUGACCUUUCUUUAUUACAUGCCAAUUCAGAUCAGAUUAAAAUAUUAGAAAAAGGUAAUUUGGUAACCGUAAUAUGCAUGUCAUCUAAACCUCUGUUAAUUGAACAAAGCAUACCAAUAAAUGGAGAUAUUUAGAAGAGAAAUAUAUAUUUUCCAAAUGUUGACUUUUGCGAAAGAAUGAAAUAACCAAAAGAAAGAAGAUGCGGGAGAUUUUACUGAACAAGAUAGGAAACAAUCACCUGAUUACAGUACGCGUAUGCUGCCGAUGCUUAUAAUAGAUGAACAAGAUAGGCUCCUCUGUUUGAUGAAUGGAUAAGAGAAGCCGCUGCUGGUUUUGGAUGUGGAAAAUACGCUAAGAUUGCAGAUUCAGCAGGGACGACCUAGCACACGGAAAAGGGGAACGGCCGAAUGGCCGAAUGACGACGCGGUUCGCCCCUGUUGUUGCUGGAUGUGGAAAAUAAGCUAAGAUUGCAGAUUCAGCAUGGACGGCCUACCACACGGAAGAAGAUUAAACUGGGUACUACCUCAAGCGUUCCUGGAUCGCUGGAAGCUGCUUGGUCUUGACAGCGUGUUUGGCAGCUUCAGGGAUUGGGAAUGGGAGUUUAGGAGGGGGAGUUUGUGAAGGGAUUAGACUUGGGAAGUAGACUAUUAGUCUCAAUUCCAUGUUUGGAGUGUGGUGGGAAUUAUUAGUGGGAAUUCAGUGGGGAGUUAUUUUUCUUUGUUUCGUUCAUCGGUACAGGAAUAGAAUUUGACACGAAGCAUGAAGCAUACAGGUACACAAACGUAAGUGCUAUAUGACAUAUACAUAUUGUACUCUACAUACAGCCACAACGGCAAGUUAACAACCAUUGUGGCUUGCCAGUUUUCAUGUAUAUGUCAGGUGGCUAGCAGCCAUUGUGGCUUGCCAGUUCUCAUGUAUAUGUCUCGUGGCAUCAUGAACAAUCUUGGUUUUGCACAUCUACAAGUAGCAGCCACAAUGGCAAGAGCGAUGACCAACAACUACAUCUGAAGACUAGCAAACAAAUGUAUACAAGCACAAGAGAUUUCAUCCAGUAAAUAUUCACAUCCAUGUCCCAUCUAUACUUCUAAAAAGGGCAUCACUGCCUAAUUGAGAGAUAGAUUCUUCCGUACAAUAUUUUUAUGAAUUAAACAAGGGACCAAGUGAAAUACUAAAUCAAAGUACUAAUCUGCACCUCCAACCUUUUGGUGACUCUUGCUCGUGAACUGCAAAGGGGGAACGGAAGUGAUGGAGAAAAUCUGUGACCUGUGAAUCAAAAAAAGAAGAAGAAUAGAUCUGCAUCAGUUUGUAAAGCAAAAAGAAAUGAAUCCAACUUUGUUAGGAAAACCAGAUGGGAUAGCUAGAUGUGUACAUAACAAGGUUGGAUUGGCAUGAAAAUUUCCAUGGAUUCAAGAUGGAAAGGGAAAGAAUGGGUUAUCUCAGCUCCUGUUCAUGCUUGCCGCCAGCUCUGGAGAUUGGGAAAGAACAAGUUGGAUUAGUAGCUGCCGAUUAGAUUGGAGGACUAAUGAUGGCGCUGCUGUAUAGGGGUCCUUAGGUAGGAUUUUACUGCGUUUUCGCUGGGAUUCUCGCACGCUUUUCCCCUUCCUCCACGGAACAUAACGAGCAGCUCGAGGUUUUUUUUUGGGCGUCAAAUCCCCCUCCCAUGCUCAAUUACUAGGGUCCCCCAGGGAAUAGUUUUAUGGGAGUUGACCUCCCAUACUCCGCUUCCCAUUCCCCUCUUAAUUCCCAUGUCCCCGAUUCAAACAAAGGUAAUUAAGUCCCACGGGCCUUAAACUCCCAUUCCCCACGUCCAAUUCCC
rnacentral:lncRNA from 1 species